rnacentral:misc_RNA from 1 species
CUUAUUUUCAUUGAUAUGAUCUAAUUUAUGGUGCUAUAGAUUUGAUGGAUUUAAUUAUCUUUACUUUCUUGCUGUUUAUGUUAAUAAUAGGCCUUUCUCAAUCAAGCGUAUACAAAUCAUUUGAUAACUAUCAAUGUCACACCCUAUCCGUUAUCUAUAGAGAAAAGUGUGAUUUGGAAAGCUACCCUAAAAUAUUGCUAAUUGAAUGUAGGAACCUACUAGAAUACUCAAGUAUGAUAACAUAAACCUAUAAUUAUCUAUUUUGGAUCACACUUGAAGGCUGCCUACAUACCUCCUGUGGAGGAUUAGGUCCACACAGCUUUUAAACUUCUAUCGGCAACCUCUCCCUUAAAAAAUUUCCCUGCUUGUGUAAAAAUGUCCAAUGUCUUUGACCCAGGAGCAAAGCCCUACAUUUUUAAUAAUGAGAGGCAUUGAGAAUGCCAUGAAUGGUGAUCGAUAGAUUUGGUAGCUGCAAAUCCCUUUUCUUUCCCUUCUGAUAACUUGAAUUUCUAGCAAAAUGUGCAAGCAAUUGUGAGUUGAUGGGAAAAUUUCCAUGAAAAUUUUCUUUUGUGAUGGCUAAAUUCUAUGUUGCCUUCGAAGAAGCAAAGUGGGAGUUGAGUAUUAAGCAUAAAAUAGAGUUGAUUGUUUUGGGAAAAAGGUAGGUUGGAGUUUGCAUGAGAGAGAUGGUGAAUAUGGAAUUUGGGGUUGCAGAGUUUCCAAAUCUUUGAGCUGGGUUUUUAAGAUAAACUUAUUUUGAGAUUAUAUAAAGGAAAUGAAGUUAAUUUUUCUAGGAAAAAGAAGACCAGCUGGGUGUUUGGAUGAGAAAGAUGAUAUUUUAAGGCUUGAGAGCUCAAAUUCUCUAUUUGGUGGUUGUGUAACAAAUCAUGGAAGAAGAAAAUAGUCACUUACUUACCUGGCAAAAUGAAUCGUGGAA